CCCAGCUGUAGGCAACUGCUUAGUUGCCUGUUACCUAGGCAAGUGUUGCACUGCUGGGAGAGAAGCAGUUAACAGCUGGCGGGCAUCCUGGGCCUGGUUAAUGCCAGAUUUAUUAACUAUACCAGUGUGCCAGCACAGU
rnacentral:snoRNA from 1 species